AUUGAACGCUGGCGGCAGGCCUAACACAUGCAAGUCGAGCGGAUGAGAAGAGCUUGCUCUUCGAUUCAGCGGCGGACGGGUGAGUAAUGCCUAGGAAUCUGCCUGAUAGUGGGGGACAACGUUUCGAAAGGAACGCUAAUACCGCAUACGCCCUACGGGGAAAGGGGGGAUCGCAAGACCUCUCGCUAUCAGAUGAGCCC
rnacentral:rRNA from 1 species